GAUGAAGAACGUAGCGAAAUGCGAUAAGUAAUGUGAAUUGCAGAAUUCAGUGAAUCAUCGAAUCUUUGAACGCACAUUGCGCCCCCUGGUAUUCCGGGGGGCAUGCCUGUCCGAGCGUCAUUACAACCCUCAAGCUCAGCUUGGUGUUGGGCCCCGCCGCCCCGGCGGGCCCUAAAGUCAGUGGCGGUGCCGUCCGGCUCCGAGCGUAGUAAUUCUUCUCGCUCUGGAGGUCGGUCGUGUGCUCGCCAGCAACCCCCAAUUUUUUUCAGGUUGACCUCGGAUCAGGUAGGGAUACCCGCUGAACUUAAGCAUAUCAAUAAGCGGAGGA
rnacentral:misc_RNA from 1 species